CGCCGGCGUACCGGGAAGUCGCUGAAGACAGAGCGAUGGCAGUUCUGGAGGCCUCGCUCCGGGGCCGACCCGAGGCCACAGUGCCCCCGCGGUAGACCGGACUUGGGUGACGGGCUCCGGGGUCCCGAGGUGAAGAGCAUCGGGGGCUGAGGGAUGGAAGGGUCUAAGACGUCCAACAACAGCACCAUGCAGGUGAGCUUCGUGUGCCAGCGCUGCAGCCAGCCCCUGAAACUGGACACGAGUUUCAAGAUCCUGGACCGUGUCACCAUCCAGGAACUCACAGCUCCAUUACUUACCACAGCCCAGGCGAAACCAGGAGAGACCCAGGAGGAAGAGACUAACUCAGGAGAGGAGCCAUUUAUUGAAACUCCUCGCCAGGAUGGUGUCUCUCGCAGAUUCAUCCCCCCAGCCAGGUGCCUACUACUUCUCAGCCCCCAUUCCUUGCCAAAGGCUAGUAGAAUUUUAAUUAAAUCCAGGAAUCGAGACCUGGAGCCAGGUGAUAGAGAUGCGUCAUCACCUAGCCUUUUGGCCCUUUCAGGAAAGAUGUAUUCCCUUAUACCUGGCCCGUCACCUUCCAGUAUGGAUUUUUUCCUGUAGCCAUUCACACAGUGGGAAAGGAUAGUAGCUUUAAUGAUGA
rnacentral:sRNA from 1 species